CAGAGUGUAGCUAACAUAGCCCAGCGUCACAUUUACACCGUGAAGAAGUCCGUGCAAAUCGGAUCACUCUGA
rnacentral:tRNA from 1 species